rnacentral:misc_RNA from 1 species
GAUGAAGAACGCAGCGAAAUGCGAUACUUGGUGUGAAUUGCAGAAUCCCGUGAACCAUCGAGUCUUUGAACGCAAGUUGCGCCCGAAGCCACUAGGCCGAGGGCACGCCUGCCUGGGCGUCACACGCCGUUGCCCCCCCAUCUACUCCUUCGGGAUUGCGGGGGGGCGGAUGAUGGCCUCCUGUGCGCCUAGCCGCGCGGUUGGCAUAAAUACCAAGUCCUCGGCGACGCACGCCACGACAAUCGGUGGUUGCGAAACCUCGGUUGCCCGUCGUGUGCGUUCGUCGCGCAUCGAGGGCUCGAAAAAAUGCUCGGCUCCGGCUGGGCUUUCAACGCGACCCCAGGUCAGGCGGGGUUACCCGCUGAAUUUAAGCAUAUCAAUAAGCGGAGGAA